AACGCACCUUGCGCUCUCUGGUAUUCCGGAGAGCAUGCCUGUUUGAGUGUCAUGAAAUCUUCAACCCUCUCUUUUCUUAGUGAAUCGAGAGGUGCUUGGAUCCUGAGCGCUGCUGGCUUCUGGCCUAGCUCGUUCGUAAUGCAUUAGCAUCCGCAAUCGAACUUCGGAUUGACUUGGCGUAAUAGACUAUUCGCUGAGGAUUCUAGUCUCGCACUAGAGCCGGGUUGGAUUAAAGGAAGCUUCUAAUCCUAAAAGUCUAACUUUUGAUUAGAUCUCAAAUCAGGUAGGACUACCCGCUGAACUUAA
rnacentral:misc_RNA from 1 species